rnacentral:rRNA from 1 species
CCUACGGGACGCAGCAGUGAGGAAUAUUGGUCAAUGGGAGAGAUCCUGAACCAGCCAAGCCGCGUGAGGGAAGACGGCCCUAUGGGUUGUCAACCUCUUUUGUCGGGGGCCAAAACCCGGGACGAGUCCCGGACUGCGUGUCUCCGAAGAAAAAGCAUCGGCUAACUCCGUGCCAGCAGCCGCGGUAAUACGGGGGAUGCGAGCGUUAUCCGGAUUUAUUGGGUGUAAAGGGUGCGGAGGCGGUCUGUUAAGUCAGCGGUAAAAUUGCGGCGCUCAACCCCGUCGAGCCGUUGAAACUGGCAGACGUGAGUUGGCGAGAAGUACGCGGAAUGCGCGGUGUAGCGGGGAAAUGCAUAGAUAUCGCGCAGAACUCCGAUUGCGAAGGCAGCGUACCGGCGCCAGACUGACGCUGAGGCACGAAAGCGUGGGGAUCGAACAGGAUUAGAUACCCUUGUAGGC